rnacentral:rRNA from 1 species
GAUGAACGCUGGCGGCGUGCCUAAUACAUGCAAGUCGAGCGAACGGACGAGAAGCUUGCUUCUCUGAUGUUAGCGGCGGACGGGUGAGUAACACGUGGAUAACCUACCUAUAAGACUGGGAUAACUUCGGGAAACCGUAGCUAAUACCGGAUAAUAUUUUGAACCGCAUGGUUCAAAAGUGAAAGACGGUCUUGCUGUCACUUAUAGAUGGAUCCGCGCUGCAUUAGCUAGUUGGUAAGGUAACGGCUUACCAAGGCAACGAUGCAUAGCCGACCUGAGAGGGUGAUCGGCCACACUGGAACUGAGACACGGUCCAGACUCCUACGGGAGGCAGCAGUAGGGAAUCUUCCGCAAAGGGCGAAAGCCUGACGGAGCAACGCCGCGUGAGUGAUGAAGGUCUCCGGAUCGUAAAACUCUGUUAUUAGGGAAGAACAUAUGUGUAAGUAACUGUGCGCAUCUUGACGGUACCUAAUCAGAAAGCCACGGCUAACUACGUG